CCUACGGGUGGCAGCAGUGAGGAAUAUUGGUCAAUGGCCGAGAGGCUGAACCAGCCAAGUCGCGUGAGGGAAGAAUGUCCUAUGGAUUGUAAACCUCUUUUGUCAGGGAGCAAAGUCACCCACGUGUGGGUGUUGGAGAGUACCUGAAGAAAAAGCAUCGGCUAACUCCGUGCCAGCAGCCGCGGUAAUACGGAGGAUGCGAGCGUUAUCCGGAUUUAUUGGGUUUAAAGGGUGCGUAGGCGGGUUAUCAAGUCAGCGGUAAAAUUGAGAGGCUCAACCUCUUCGAGCCGUUGAAACUGGUUUUCUUGAGUGAGUGAGAAGUAUGCGGAAUUCCUAGUGUAGCGGUGGAAUGCGUAGAUAUUAGGAGGAACACCAGAGGCGAAGGCGGCUAACUGGACUGCAACUGACGCUGAGGCACGAAAGUGUGGGGAGCAAACAGGAUUAGAUACCCCAGUAGUC
rnacentral:rRNA from 1 species